rnacentral:lncRNA from 1 species
AAAGUCAAGGAAUUGAGAUACCAGUGUAUGAGGUCACACAGGAUGAGAAAAGGAUUUAUGGUGAGAUAAGACCUUAAAAAAGUCUUGUUGCCUCUAUGAUUUCAGGAGUCCUUAAGUCUUCAGUGAAGGAGGUGCGUUGAUAGAAGAAACGAAGACAGGGAAAUCGGUCUGUAGCUUAGAGGAAUAGUGAUCUAGAAGUGGCCUUGGGAGAGCAGCCUCCCAGUCCUGGCCCUUGAUACAGUCUAGGAGGCUAGGCAGGUGCAGCAGACCUGGAAAUGGCCAGGUUUCAGUUCAGAUAAGGUCAAGGCAAGGAAAUGAAAAUGGCUGUUCAGAAAAGAGGCUGAGGGUAUGGGCAAUUCGUGGUCUCUGGAUUUCCAGAGGCCAGUUGAGGGUGUAGGAGGGUGGGAAGAGUGACCAUUGGCAGAGUUGGGUACCUGGGGAGAUGAUGUCAUGCCAUGGUGGUCUGUGCCAUUAGUGCCCAGGGAACCAUGCCUCCUUUUAUCAUUUCCUUAUGUAAUCCUUUCCCUUGAAUUUGAUCUGAGUCUGUGACUUGCUUUAACCAGACUCUGGCAGAGUUCCUGUCGUGGCUCAGUGGUUAACGAAUAUGACUAGGAACCAUGAGGUUGUGGGUUCGAUCCCUGGCCUCGCUCAGUGGGUUAAGGAUCCGGUGUUGCUGUGAGCUGUGGUGUAGGUUGCAGACACAGCUUGGAUCCAGCAUUGCUGUGGCUCUGGCGUAGGCUGGCAGCUGCAGCUCCGAUGAGACCCCAGCCUGGGAACCUCCAUAUGCCGCAGGUGUGGCCCUAGAAAAGACAAAAAGACCUAAAUAAAUAAAUAAACAAACAAAUAAAUUAAUUAAUAAAAUAAAAGGACUGUGGCUUCCCAAGCUUUUACUCUCAUGAAAGCCCUAAGAUGCCACUAAAGGACUCUGGCUUCCCUGUUGGAGAGACUACAUGGAGAGACCACAUGGAAAGUCCACAUGGAGAGGGAGAACCCUUAAUCCUACCUGGAUACAGGGGUUGGUGGGGGGAUGAGGGAGGAGGGAGAAGCCCAGCCAUCAGCGAAUCGGCCAGCUGAAUGUAGCCACCCAGUGACCUUGAGCAAGAUCAACAGAAGAGCUGUUCAGCCAAGCUUAGCUCAUAUUGCGUAAUAAU